UACAGAGGUCUCAAGCGUUGUUCGGAUUCAUUGGGCGUAAAGGGUGCGUAGGCGGCGCGGUAAGUCGGGUGUGAAAUCUUGGAGCUUAACUCCGAAACUGCAUUCGAUACUGCCGUGCUGGAGGACUGGAGAGGAGACUGGAAUUUACGGUGUAGCGGUGAAAUGCGUAGAUAUCGUAAGGAAGACCAGUGGCGAAGGCGGGUCUCUGGACAGUUCCUGACGCUGAGGCACGAAGGCCAGGGGAGCAAACGGG
rnacentral:rRNA from 1 species